rnacentral:rRNA from 1 species
UGGCGGACGGGUGAGUAACGACGUGGAAAACCUAGCCGUAUACUGGGGGAUAACACUUAGAAAUAGGUGCUAAUACCGCAUAAGCGCACAGCUUCGCAUGAAGCGGUGUGAAAAACUCUGGUGGUAUACGAUGGUUCCGCGUCUGAUUAGCUAGUUGGUGGGGUAAUGGCCUACCAAGGCAACGAUCAGUAGCCGGCCUGAGAGGGUGAACGGCCACAUUGGGACUGAGACACGGCCCAAACUCCUACGGAAGGCAGCAG